rnacentral:rRNA from 1 species
AGUGAACGCUGGCGGUAGGCCUAACACAUGCAAGUCGAACGGCAGCACAGUAAGAGCUUGCUCUUACGGGUGGCGAGUGGCGGACGGGUGAGGAAUACAUCGGAAUCUACUUUUUCGUGGGGGAUAACGUAGGGAAACUUACGCUAAUACCGCAUACGACCUACGGGUGAAAGCAGGGGAUCUUCGGACCUUGCGCGAUUGAGUGAGCCGAUGUCGGAUUAGCUAGUUGGCGGGGUAAAGGCCCACCCAGGCGACGAUCCGUAGCUGGUCUGAGAGGAUGAUCAGCCACACUGGAACUGAGACACGGUCCAGACUCCUACGGGAGGCAGCAGUGGGGAAUAUUGGACAAUGGGCGCAAGCCUGAUCCAGCCAUACCGCGUGGGUGAAGAAGGCCUUCGGGUUGUAAAGCCCUUUUGUUGGGAAAGAAAAGCAGCAGGUUAAUACCCCGCUGUUCUGACGGUACCCAAAGAAUAAGCACCGGCUAACUUCGUG